GCAGCGCGGUUUACCCAUGCNNGUCGAGCGCACUCUUUUAGAGUGAGCGGCAAACGGGUGAGUAACGCGUGGGAAUCUACCCAUCUCUACGGAAUAACACAGAGAAAUUUGUGCUAAUGCCGUAUACGUCCUAAGGGAGAAAGAUUUAUCGGAGAUGGAUGAGCCCGCGUUGGAUUAGCUAGUUGGUGGGGUAAAGGCUCACCAAGGCGACGAUCCAUAGCUGGUCUGAGAGGAUGAUCAGCCACACUGGGACUGAGACACGGCCCAGACUCCUACGGGAGGCAGCAGUGGGGAAUAUUGGACAAUGGGGGCAACCCUGAUCCAGCCAUGCCGCGUGAGUGAUGAAGGCCCUAGGGUUGUAAAGCUCUUUCACCGGUGAAGAUAAUGACGGUAGCCGGAGAAG
rnacentral:rRNA from 1 species